AGAAGGUUGAUUUUUUGCCUCCUCCUGUUUCCUCUGCUGUCAUCCUCACUAAAUCUGUAGGAGGAAAUGAGGCUGCAGCAAUUUUCAAUUCAGCAUUUGGCAGUUUUCUGGGGAUUGUGUUCACUCCUCUUCUGCUGCUGGUGUUUGUGAGUAUAACUCCUCUUUAUUUGUUAUUUCUGUUCAUUGUGAAUGUGCUGAACAGUAAGCAUGUUGU